rnacentral:tRNA from 1 species
GGCGAAGUGGUGGAAUUGGUAGACACGCACGUUUCAGGUGCGUGAGCCUUCGGGUGUGCGAGUUCGAGUCUCGCCUUCGUCACGA